rnacentral:lncRNA from 1 species
UUCCAUAACUAUGUUCUCUUGUACGAACCCGGUAGAAGCAUCAACAACUGUCAUUAACAGCUGUCCUCGCCGUUCACCUAUGCCGCCGAACAGGUGAUCUGGAUCUUGACCUAUGCUGCCGAACAGGUGAUCUGGAUCUUGACCUAUGCUUCCGAACAGGUGAUCUUGACUUAUGCUUCCGAACAGGUGAUUUUGAUCUUGAUCUAUGCUUCCGAACAGGUGAUCUGGAUCUUGACUUAUGCUUCCGAACAGGUGAUCUGGAUCUUGACCUAUGCUUCCGAACAGGUGAUCUGGAUCUUGACCUAUGCUUCCGAACUGGUGAUUUGGAUCUUGACCUUCUUACCCUGCAUAAAAAGGAAACCCUGUAAAUAAACAAGGCACAGCUGUAGUAUAAAUGGGAACCCAUACAAAUUCACCUGAGUAGCUUAUAUUGUUAUAUGAUGAUGGUAGUUUGUCUCAAAAAUAUAAACCUUAAACAUGAUUAACUUAAUGGCAACAAACCUGG